rnacentral:tRNA from 1 species
GCGAGAGUGGCGGAAUUGGCAGACGCGCACGUUUGAGGGGCGUGUGGUGAUCCCGUACGGGUUCAAGUCCCGUCUCUCGCACCA